AUUGAACGCUGGCGGCAGGCCUAACACAUGCAAGUCGAGCGAGCGGCGGACGGGUGCGUAAUGUCUGGGAAACUGCCUGAUGGAGGGGGAUAACUACUGGAAACGGUAGCUAAUACCGCAUACCAUCAGAUGUGCCCAGAUGGGAUUAGCUAGUAGGUGGGGUAACGGCUCAACUAGGCGACGAUCCCUACCUGAUCUGAGAGGAUGACCAGCCACACUGGAACUGAGAUACGGUCCAGACUGCGACGGGAGGCAGCAGUGGGGAAUAUUGCACAAUGGGCGCAAGCCUGAUACAGACAGUCCGCGUGUGUGAAGAAGGCCUUCGGGUUGUAAAGCACUUUCAGCGGGGAGGCGUUACCCAGAGAAGAAGCAACGGGUAACUCCGUGCCAGCAGCCGCGGUAAUAC
rnacentral:rRNA from 1 species